UCGCAUUUUAGAGAAGGUGUGAGCCCGCCCCGAGACUGGCGAUUGGAAGAGCUUGCACGCCGAGCUGGGUUGUCUGAACCCUGACUUGAUAAGUCCCUCGCCGGCUCCCGUAAUCUCAGCUAGAGGAUGUUAGUCCCGUUUCCUACACAGCCUGCACCUGCCGCUUCUUCUCAGGAUUCCCUCUCUUAGAGCUCCGGCGCGGCCUUCUACGUGCCGGGUCGAGGGCUCCAGGACUUUGGGCGGUAAUGGGUCCGCUAUUGUGAGUCUGAGCCAGUGCCGCGGGCGAGUCCCUUUAGCUUCAGCCAGUUUGGCUCGUUUAUUGAGAAAAGCGGGGGGCGAGGAGUUAGUGUGUAAGAAAGUCUUCAAGUUUCCAUAUGGUUAAGGUAAUUUUACCAACUCUUUCUUGCACCCCUCCCCCAGCACGGUUUCAAACCUGAAUAACCUAGAGUUCAUGAUCCCGACUUCAAAACAUUCUCUGCUUUUUCUGUUAUUUGUGAAAAAUAAGUUUUUUGUGAGCCCAGAUCGUGCUAUUGCACUCCAGCCUGGGCAACAGCCAAACCCUAUCCAAAAAAAAAAAAAAAAACGCUCUUUUUCGGCGCUACUUUCUUCCCUUCAGUAAGGGCCGAGGAGCAACUUCACAGCUUUUUAACACUGUAAUUGAAGUAUUUGUUCAAGAAAGGCAAGAAGUCUUGGCGCGGAAGUGGGGGACAUAGGGAAAUUGUUGGUCGAAUGAUACAAAGUUUCAGUUUGACAAGGUGAAUGAGUUCUGUAGUUAAUCAUGUAUUGUGUGCUUGAAAUUGCGAAGAAGGUACACCUUAAAUGCACUUACCACAGGAAAGUUUUGGGGUACAUGUGCAGAACAUGCAAGAUAGUUGCACAGGUCCUUGAGGAAUCGCCACACUGUCUUCCACAAUGGUUGAACUAAUUUACACUCCCACCAGCAGUGUAAAAGUGUUCCUAUUUCUCCACAUCCUCUCCAGCAUCUGUUGUCUCCAGAUUUUUUAAUGAUCGCCAUUCUAACUGGCGUGAGAUGAAUGUGAUUGUAGCUAGGACCUUUAAGGAAGUGCUCAAGUUCAAUGAGACUGUUAGGGUGGGCCCUAAUCCAGUCCUGACUGGUGGCAUUAUAAGAAGAGGAAAUUUGGAUACACAGAGAGACAUCAGGCAGGUGCGCACAAGAGAAAAGGCCAUGUGAAGGCACAACAAGAAGGUGACCAUCUGCAAACCAAGGAGAGAGACUUCAGAAGAAGCCAGACCUGCUGACACGUUGAUCUUGGACCACUAGCCUCCAGAAUGUGAGGAAAUACAUUUCUGUUGUUUAAACCACUCAGUCUGUGGUAUUUUGUUAUGGCAGCCCUAGGAAACUAAUACACAUGUCAAAUCUCGCUUUGGCUUUUCCUUCUCAGAGGACCCAUACUAGCACAGGUGGCACUAGGGGAGAUCCAGGAAGACAUAAGAUGGGGCUUCAAGACUGACUCACUCACUACUUGUUGGGCAAAGAAGAUGCCAUCCUGUACAGUAUAGGAGCACAGUAUAGGUAGUUCCUAGCACAAGGUGGUGAUCUAGUUGCUAAAGAUUUUCGUAAAUGGUCACCUGGGAAGAAAUCCCAGUGAGGUUAAGUUAAAGACCCCGCUGAUUCAAUUUCAGGCAUUUGAAAUAUAUAGGGGAACAAUGCCUACAAGGACAAUGAAGAUGGCUGGAUGCUGCUAAGUUGUGACAUCCAGAAAAGGGAUGAGAAAACAAAGGUUCCACUGGGUUAAUAGCCAAAUAUGAAAGACAGAGGGUCUCUUUAGUAGCCUACAAAAAAUUACUUAUUUUCUGUAGUGGAAAAGCUAACACAGAUGAGUGACAGACUUCAAACAUGAUAGAGUCACAAAGUUUCAGACACACUUAAAUGUGCAGCCAAAGCAGGUCAGGGUCCUUAUUGGGAAAGCCCGAGACUGAAACAAGGAUGGAACAUCUGGAUAGACAUUUGUAUGGAUGUUUGCUCUGCAGACCUCUGUGUACUUUCAAAACUUGCAGAGGUGAUCUGUCUCUCCGUAUUAAGAGGUAGUACUUCCCCCCAAACUGAAAGACGCUGCAGAGCUACUCUCCCACAAAGAAACACAGGAGUUGUCCCAACUUCCUCUCCUAUCCUCUCCAGGCCAAUAGAUAGUGGUAAAUACUAGCAUAACCCAGUUGGGAACAUGCUGGGCCUGACAAAGGAGGAAAGACACUAAGAAUUAGCAUAUGCAGACAAGCCAGGGGAGUACUCGAGGAUUGGAUUUUGAGGCGCUUGAUCAAGGGGACUGAAAUAUAAAACAAUAAUCAAGAUUCAUUGACUUGGGGGCACUUCUUGAGAGACAGGAUUUAACACCCUAGCAAAACGUCAGAAAUGAAACAGUCACUUUUGAGGAAUUCUUAGAAAUCUGGAGCAAGUGAUGGACAAUGCUGAGCAAAGUAAAAAUGGUUUACCCUUGCUGUGACAUGGUAAAAGCCCCAUAAAACUGCGUACGUCAACCAUACCUUGGCUUUGUAUUGAAACUGCUCUCUGUAACCCAAAUGUGACAGGCAAGCAGUCCAAACCCAUGCCAUCUUGGCCCCUGCAACUUGUAAUAAGUAACCUAACCCCCGAGGUGAUUUUAGGGUCUUGACACCCUCCUUUCGGGGCCACAGGUUGGAGACGUGAGUCCUCCGUGGCCACCUGCAAUAAAGACCCUGCAAUUUGGCAUACUUUUGUCUUGGUGUUGACUUUCUAUGCUCGGGCCAGUACAACACUGGCAUAUGGUAGAAUGAAUUUAAAAAUUCAUUCUUCUAUCAUAUGGGUGAACUGAGUGUUUACAAUUGAUGUAUUAAGUGAGAGCAGAAGACCCCUUAGAGGAUUAUGUUCCACAGAAAGGUCCAGAAGACACCAUUCACCAAGGCCAUCAAAAGUGCUCAGUUAAGAGGAAAAACAGCAUUACCAAAGAGUGUUCUGCAAUCCUGGGCUGACAGUUGGAGAAGAGCUGUCACAGAAUUGGGGCUUAUUAAUAACUAUGACAAUUAUAUCACCCCAACUCCCAAGUAAUGGAGUCCAGAUGCUGGUGCUUAGUCAUCAGAAUCCAGAAGGUUCAAUUACCAGUAAGAGCAGCAAGAUCUGGGAAGAGUAGCACAGUAGAAAUGUCUGAAUUUUUGUGAUGUGUGGUAGGGGCUAUUCCCUACUUUAGUUAUAUAUUUCAGUAGACUCUAUUGUAUUGUAGCUGUCAGGCAUGGAAAGAUGUAGUCUGGAGUUUGUGAUGAUUAAUUUUUUAUCAACUCCACUAUAGGGUAUCCAGAUAUUUGAUCAAAUAUUGUGGGUUUGUUUGUGAGGGCGUUUCUGGAUAAGGUUAACAUUUGAAUUAGUAGACUGAGCAAAACAGAUUGCCCUCCCAAUUGUGAGUAAGCCUCAUCUAAUCAAUUGAAGACCUGAAUAGAAUAAAAAAGCUAAGUAAGAGGGAACUCCUACCUGACUGCUUGAGCUGAGACAUUGGUCGUUUCUGGCCUUUGGACUGGGACUGGAACAUCAGCUCUUCUUGGAUCUCAAGCCUACUAACUUCCAGACUUUAAUUGGGCAGAAGUCAAUGGUCUGGACCUCUGAUAGGGGGUCUGGAAGGCAAAGGACUGGAAAAUCAAAGACAAGGAGGUCUGGGAUAGAGUCAGGUGAAUGACUAUGCAGAAGUAGGCAUGAGGUGUGAAGUUUUUAUAUCAUGUAUUUACAAGAGAAGAGGCAUUAAACAAGUAGGCAAAAUGAGUCAGUUGACAUUACUAGGCUUAAUCAUUGGCCAUCUUGGAACCAGCAUGAUGGGCACUGUUAUGGGCUAAAUUGCUGUAUUAGUAUGUUCACACACUGUUUAUUAGACAUACCUGAGACUGGGUAAUUUAUAAAGGAAAGAGGUUUAAUGGACUUACAGUUCCACAUGGCUGGGAGGCCUCAUAACCAUGGUGGAAGGCAAAGGAGAAGCAAAAGCAUGCCUUACAUGGUGACAGGCAAGAGAGUGUGUGCAGAGGAACUAAACCAUCGGACCUUGUGAGACUUACUCACUAUCACAAGACUUACUAUCAUAGGAAAGACCCACCCCCAUGAAUCAAUUACCUCUCACCAGGUCCCUUCCACAACACAUGAGAAUUAUGGGAGCAAAAUUCAAGAUGAGAUUUGGGUGGGUUCACAGCCAAACCAUAUCAUUCUGCCCCGGCCCCUCCAAAAUUUUAUGUCCUCACAUUUCAAAACCAAUCAUGCCUUCCCAGUAGUCCUCCAAAGUCUUAACUCAUUUCAGUAUUUACUCAGAAGUCCACAGUCCAAAGUCUCAUCUGAGACAAGGCAAGUCCCUUCCACCUAUAAGCCUGUAAAAUCAAAAGCAAGUUAGUUAUUUCCUAGACACAAUGGGAGUACAGGCAUUGGGUAAAUACACCGGUUCCAAGUGGGAUAAAUUGGCCAAAACAAAGGGGCUACAGCCGUCAUGCAAGUCAGAAAUCCAGCAGGGCAGUCAAAUCUUAAAGCUCCAAAAUAAUCUCCUUUGGCUCCUUAUCUCAUAUCCAGGGCAUUAUGAUGCAGGAGGUAGGCUCACACAACCUUGGGCAGCUCUGCCCCUGUGGCUUUGCAGGGUACAGCCCUGCUCCUGGCUGCUUUCACGGGCUGGCAUUGAGUGUCUGCGACUUUUCCAGGCACACAGUGCAAGUUGUCAGUGGAUCUACCAUUCUAGGAUCUGGAGGAUGGUGGCCUUCUCACAACUCCACUAGGCAGUGCCCCAGUGGGGACUCUGUGUGGGUGCUCUGACUCCACAUUUCCCUUCUGCACUGCCCUAGCAGAGGUUCUCCAUGAGGUACCUGUCCCUGCAGCAGACUUCUGCCUGAAUAUCCAGGUGUUUCCAUAUAUCUGAAAUCUAGGCAGAUCAGGCUCAACACCAUGUGGAAGCUGCCAAGGCUUGGGGCUUGCACCCUCUGAAGCAAUGGCCUGAGCUCUAUAUUGGCCCCUUUUAGCCACAGCUCGGACACAAGAUACAAAGUCCCAAGACUACACAAAGCAGCAAGGGCUUGGACCUGGCCCAUGAAACCAUUUUUUCCUCCUGGGCCUCCAGGCCUGUGAUGAGAGAGGCUGAGAGAAGACCUCUGAUGUUCCCUGGAGACAUUUUCCUCAUUGUCUUGGUGAUUAACAUUAGGCUUCUUGUUACUUACGCAAAUUUCUGCAGCCAGAUUGAAUUUCUCCUCAGAAAAUGCGUUUUUCUUUUCUAUUGCAUCAUCAGGCUGUACAUUUUCUGAACUUUCAUGCUCUGUGUCCUCUUGAAAGGAGAGCAUGAAAGUUCAGAAAAUGUUAGAAAUUUGUUCUGCCAGAUACCUAAGUCAUCUCUCUCAAGUUCAAAGUUCCACAGCUCUCUGGGGUAGGGGCAAAAUACUGCCAGUCUCUUUGCAUAGCAAGAGUGACCUUUACUCCAGUUCCCAACAAGUUUUGCCAUCUGAGACUACCUCAUCCUGGACUUUAUUGUUCAUAUCAUUAUCAACAUUUGGUUGAUAAUUCUACAAGUUUCUAGGAAGUUCCAAACUUUCCCACAUCUUCCUGUCAUCUGAGCCCUCCAAGUCUCUAGGAAGUUCCAAAUUUCCCAUAUUUUCCUGUCUUCUUCUAAGCCCGGAAGUUCCAAACUUUCCCACAUCUUCCUGUCAUCUGAGCCCUCCAAGUCUCUAGGAAGUUCCAAAUUUCCCAUAUUUUCCUGUCUUCUAAGCCCUCCAAACUCUUCCGCCCACUGCCUGUUACCCAGUUCCAAAGUCAAUUCCACAUUUUUGAGUAUCUACAGCAACACCCCACUCUACCAGUACCAAUUUACUGUAUUAGUCUGUUCUCAUGCUGCCAAUAAAGACAUACCAUGUCUUAGGUAAUUUAUAAAGGAAAGAUUUAAUAAGAGGUUUAAUGGAUUCACAGUUCCACCUGGCCGGGGAGGCCUGCCAAUCAUGGCAGAAGGCAAAGGAGAAGCAAAAGCAUGUCUUACAUGGCAGCAGGCAAGAGGGCAUUUGCAGGAGAACUCCCCUUUAUAAAACCAUCAGACCUCGUGAGACUUAUUCACUAUCAUGGGAAAGACCCACCCCCAUGAUUCAACUACCUCCCACCAGGGCCUUCCCACCACACAUGGGAUUUAUGGGAGUGACAAUUCAAGAUGAGAUUUGGGUGGAGACACAACCAAAUCAUAUCAGUUUCCCCUACUCAAUUCAUACAUGGAAGACCUAAACUCCAAUAGCUCAGAUUGACAUUCAGAAACUGGAUUGUUGCACAUAUAAUUAAUUAAUAAAGAUGAGUUUAUACUGGAAGGGGUAGACCCCUAAUUCACUCUGACUAGUGUUCUUUUGAGCAGGUGGCCAUGUGAAGACAGAGAUACACAGGGUGGACACCAUGUGAAAAUGAAGGCAGAGCUGGCACAGUGGCUCACGCCUUGUAAUCCCAGCACUUUGGAAGGCUGAGGCGGGUGGAUCACCUGAGGUCAGGAGUUUGAGACCACCCUGACCAACCUGGAGAAACCCUGUCUCUACUAAAAAUACAAAAAUUGGCAUGGUGGCACAUGCCUGUAAUCCCAGCUACUUGGGAAGCUGAGGAAGGAGAAUUGCUUGAACCCAGGAGACAGAGGUUGAGGUUAGCUGAGAUCGCACCAUUGCACUCCAGCCUGGGCAGUGACAGUGAAACUCCAUCUCAAAAAAAAAAAAAGUGAAGGCAGAGAUCAGGGUGAUAGAGCAGAAUCUAAGAGGCAUGGCACAGAUUCUCAUUCAUAACCCUCAGAGGGAACCAACCUUGCUGACACCAUGAUCUCAGACUUCUAGCCUCAGAACUAUGAGACGAUACAUUUGUUUAAGCCACCACAUUUGUGGUACUUUGUUAUGGCAGCCCUAGGUAACCAAUACCAUCACAUAAAUGGACUGGCCACAGUGGCAGGGAUAGAGGCUAUAUAUGGGCUCCAACUUUCCAAGGUUGAUCUAGCUACUGAUGAUCUUUACUGUUAGCAUCAAAGACUAAUGCAGAGUCCCCAAUAUGUCACUAAUACUCAAGGAGAUCAACUGGCUGCUUGGUGACAAGUUGACAACAUUAGGUCUCUUCUACUUCUGAGGGACUUAACAGUUCAUUCUCACAGUGAUGGAUAUCUAAUCUGGGUACGGGUUUUCUUUUCCUUCCCACAGGUUCUCAGCCAGGGUUUAAAAUAUGGAGUUUAAAAUACGGGUUUAAAGUAUGGGAGUUUACAAAAUGAAUGCCUGAUCCACAAGCAUAAACUCUUACGUAACAUGGCAUCCAACCAGGCGACUUGUUUCAUGGUAAAAGAGGAGCGAGAGUGGGCCUGUGGCCAUGGCAUCCCUGAUCAUACCAUACCAUCCAGAAAAAUCUGGCAUUUUAAAGGAUUGGGAUGACUUUUUUUUUUUUUUUUUUUGAGGCAGGCUCACACUCACCCAGGCUGGAGUGCAGUGGUACAAUCUCAGCUCACUGUAGCCUUGACCUCUCAGGCUCAAGCCAUCUUCCCACUUCAGCCUCAUGAGUAGCUGGGACUAUGGGCAUGUGCCACCACACCCAGCUAAUUUUUUUUUUUUUUUGAGACGGAGUUUCGCUCUUGUUACCCAGGCGGGAGUGCAAUGGCGUGAUCUCGGCUCACCGCAACCUCCGCCUCCUGGAUUCAGGCAAUUCUCCUGCCUCAGCCUCCUGAGUAGCUGGGAUUACAGGCACGUGCCACCAUGCCCAGCUAAUUUUUUGUAUUUUUAGUAGAGACGGGGUUUCACCAUGUUGACCAGGAUGGUCUCAAUCUGUUGACCUCGUGAUCCACCCACCUCAGCCUCCCAAAGUGCUGGGAUUACAGGCGUGAGCCACCGCGCCCGGCCACCCAGCUAAUUUUUAAAAAAAUUUGUAGAGACAAACCCUCACUAUGUUGUACAGGCUGGUCUUUAACUCAUGGGCUCAAGUGAUCCCCUGCCUCAGCCUCCCAAAAUGCUGUGAUUACGGACAUGAGCCAUCGCACCCAGCCUGGAGUGACUUUGUAAAGGCACAGGUGGCAUUCCACUCAGAGGCAACACAAAGAAUUGUAUGUUAUCAUUCUGGAUUUGUUAUACACAUUAAAUCAGAGGCCUUGUGAUUCUGUCAUAGUUUUUUUUCUGUUGCUAUAACAGAAAACCACAGACUAGGUAGUUUAAAAAGAAAAGAACAUGAUUUCUUAUAGUCUAGAGGCCAGGAGGUCAAAAGAAUAUGGUGCUGCCAUCUGGUGAGGGCCUUCUUGUUGUGUCAUAACAUGACGGAGAGCAUCUCAUGAUGAGAGGGCAAGAGCAUGUGUGUCAACUCAGGUCUCUCUACCUCUUCUUUCAAAGCUACCAGUCCCAUUAUGGGGGCCCCAUCCUGAUAACUUUAUCUAAUUCUAAUUACCUCCCAAAAGCCUCAGCUCCAGAUGUCAUCAACAUAUGGAAUAUAGAAAUUAAGUUUUUAAUACAUGAAAUUUGGAGGACACGUUCAAACCACAGCAGGUCCUAACAAGAAAAAUACUUGGGUCCACUAGCCAAAGAGUAGAGGUAGGAAUUGCCCUACUUUUCUUUACUACCAAUUACCCAGUAGAAGACUUUGUGCUUCCCAUACUCACAAAUGUGGGAUCCGUAGGGCUGGAGGUCCUAGUCCCCAAGAGGUCCUAGUCCCCAAAGGGAGGACAGCAGGGGUCCCAUUGAACUACAAGCUAUGGCUGCUGUUGGGCAUUUUGGACUCCUUAUGUCCAGAGACCAGAAGGCAAAAAGAGGAGUCACCAUCAUGGAGUAAUUGACCUUGAUCAGUAAGAGGAAGUAGUGCUGCUUUUUACAGAGCCCAUGUAAUCCCACUUGAGCAUCUCCUGAUACUUCCUUGCUCCAUGUAGCUGAAUGAACACAUGUAGCAAAUCUGGCCUGAGAAGAGUAUGGUUACUAGAAGCCCAGACCACCACAUAAACCACCAAGAUCUGCUAAGGUGAUAAUGGAUGGUGAGGGGCACUUGGAGUAGAUGGUGGAGGAGAGAGAGGAUCAGUAUCAACUGUGGCCCCCAGACAGGUUGCUGUAGUUUAUCACAUUAAUCUUCCUCUUCAAGUUUUCCUUUAGCAAGAAAGGCCCAUGGGAACCGUAGAAAAGUUUCUUCCCAAACCUGUUUGAAAAAGAUCUGUUUUCUCAAAGAGUGGGCUGUGGUGCUUCUGAAAGUGGGCCUCUCAGAUUUCCUGCUAUGGGAGAAUAGUUAAUUGAUGACCCCUACCGCUGACCUUCUGGAUUAACCAAUGUGUUUGCUGCUGAGGCCAUGCUUCUUAGGAACUAUUCUUAGCCAGUGACUAAGCAUGGUGGGGCACUAAUACAGGCUCAUUGGGACUUCUCUAAUGAGUCACUUUGGUUCAAAGCUCAGAGGGAAGUUUAGAGAAACAGCAAAUUUAAUGCAAGGAAAAUAAAGGAAAGGAAAUAAAGAUAAUAUCAGAAAUCCAUGAAACAGAAUGCAGGUAUCCAAGAGAGAAAAUCAAUGAAGCCAAAACUUAACAAUUUUCUAAAAGAGUAAUAAAAGUACAUCGACUCCUAGCAAGGUUAAUAAAGAAGCACAAAGUCUUCUACUGGGUAACACAUUACCAAUAUCAGCAAUUAAAGGGGACAUCACUAUAGGUCCUAUAGAUAUUAACAAAUACAGGAGGAUAUUAUAAACAAUCUUAUACCAUUAGAGUUGACAAUUAAGAAGAAAUGGAAAAUUUUAGUGAAAAACAAAACCUACCAAGUCCAAAACCAGAAUAAAUAAAUUUUAUAUUUUAGAAGGAUUGAAUUCAUAAUUCAAACCUUUCUACAAAAAAAACUCCAGAUGGCUUCACUAGGGAAUUCUUUCCAAGAUAUAUACUGCUUUUAGAAAGGCAUAAAAGACAUAUUCAUACUUUCUAAUGCUUGUAUAUUACAUACUCUAUUUGUGGCUUAACUUCCCCCUGCUUCCAUGCAUCAUUCAUUGAGCACCUACUGUGUUUCAGGGCAUGAUGGUAAGUGUUACAAAUGCAAAGAUGAUAAAGGAUUUUCUGAUUGGAAGAGGGACUUUUAGGUUGAUGGAAGAAGUAGAUAUAAUAAUGUAAAUGCAGCAAAAUAUGUGCUAAUGAUGAUAUGUAUAAAGUGCUGUGAGAGAUGGUGCUGAAUCCAGGGAAGGGAAGGCUUUCCAGGCAUGAGGGGUGAAACAAUAUUGCAUGUGGUAUGGGCAUAAAAAUGACUAGAAAAUAAACAACAUUCCUUCUCAGUCUUCCUUAUUGAAUCUUCUCCUGAUACUUCCUUAAUUUUUUUUUGAGUCUUCAAGUCCUGUCCUUGGUUUCUGUUUUGACUUUUCCCAAGCAGUUUUCUCUAUUCUCACAUUUGCCCCUUUCAUAUACAAGUUAAUCAUUCCAAAAUCUAUGUCUCCAGCCUCCACCUCUCUAUUGAGCUCCAGGGCCACAUAUCCAAAUAUCUGAACUCACCUACUCAAGAAUUUUGCCCUCACACUAUGCCAUCUCCUGCAUCACCAACUUCCCUCCCUUGAAAAAUCCUUCCCUUGAUUGCAUGUGUCUCUCCAGCUACUACAUCAUUUCUCUGCUCCUCUUUGUGUAGUGAAACUUCUCACAUUCUUUGUUAAAAGUGAGGAUUUUAUUCCUAUUACUUUUCUGAGACUGUGCUUAUCAAGGUCACCAAUAAUCUUCAUGUUGCCUAAUUCAGUUCUUAACCUACUUGACUAAAUGGCAGCAUUUGACCAGUUGAUCAUUUUCUCUUUCUUGAAGGACUGUCUUUACCUGGCUUCCACCCUAUACCGAUUUUCUUCUCACCUCAGUGGCCACUCCUCAAUCUCUUCAUUGGGUCCUCUUUCUUUUCUCAACCUUUAAUUAUAACUGAUUCUAGUGUUUCAUCCCCAGACUUCUACCAAAUUUUUUCUUUUACUCAUUUCUUAGAAAAUCUUAACUAAGUCUUUCAUUUUAAAUAUCAUCUAUAUGUUAGUGAUUACAAAAAAUGUAUAUCUCCAACCUCUCCCCUGAACUUCAGACUCAUAUCUUCACUGGCUAUUCCACUUGGAUGUCUAAUAGUAUUCCACACUAAAUGUGUCCAAACCAAGCCUUUGAUUCCUUGCUGCCCAAACCUUCAGUCUUCGCCAUACCAGUAAAUAGUUCAACCAUCCACCCUGUUGCUCAGGCCAGAAAUGUUGGGAUCAUCAUUGACUCCUCUCUGUUUCUAAUACCUUCGUUUGAUCCACUAGCACAUCCAUCAUCCUGCCUUCAAAAUAUAUUCCAAAUCUGACUGACCAGUUCUUACCACCUUGAUCACUACUACUCUCACCCAAACCACCAUCAUCUCUCACCUAGAUUCCUUCCUCCUAACUGUCUAUCCUACUUCCACUCUUCCCAACUAUAUUCUGAAUGAUUCUUUUACAGUGUAAGUUAGGAUAUGCCACUCGUCUGUUCAGAACUCUCCAGUGAUUCAUGUCACAUUUAAAAUACAAUCUAAAAUUCUUUCCACAAUCCGUGAGGCCUUCAUGAUCUGGCCUCUUGCUACAUUCUGACCUUAUGUACUUCCUUUCUCCCCUGCCUUUUUUUGUAUGUCAGCCAUACUGGCUUCAUUGAUGUUUCUCAAACAUAUGCCAAGCACAUUGCUGCCUCUGGAUCUUUAUACUUGUUUACUUUAAAAAUACUGGUUCCACAGAUACUCUUAUGGCCCAGUUCCUCACAUCAUUCAGGUCUCUGUUCAAAUGUUACCUCCUCAGGGGGACCACCCUAUCUAAAAUAAUUCUUUGAUUUGCUGUGCUUUUACUCUUUUUUCCCCUAGCUUAUAACUCUACAGGAGUUAUUUCAGGUAUGCAUCUGUUUAUUGAAUAUUAUCUACCUCCCAUAUUAGAAUGUAAGUUCCAUAAAGGCAAGGAAUUUAUCCAUUUUGUUCAGUCACCCAGUCCUGUCUAUCCUGCUUCUUUAAAAUAUCUUCAAGGUGGGUAUGGUAUUAUCCCAACAUUUUGGGAGGCUGAGGUGGAGGAUCACUUGAGCCCAGGAGUUUGGGAACAGCCUGGGCACAUAGUGAGACCCUGUCUCUACAAAAAAGUGAAAUUUAAAAAAAAUCUUCAAUUCAUCUUCUUUCCAUUCCUACUACCUCUGCCUUAAUUCAGUUGCCACCACCACUUGCUUGCACUGUUAUCAAAUUCUUCUACUUGACUUUGCACCUUUGCUUUCUUCUAUCCAGGCCAUUCUCCCACACUCCUACAAAUUUGAUAGCACUGUAGUUGAUAUCUGUUCAUGCCUCUCCCCUACAUAAAACCCUUUGUAGGGGAUACCCUCUUUGAAUAUUAAAGUCAGUCCUUUAACACAGCAUCCAAGGCAUUUCUAGCCACUAAUUCUGCCACCUUCUAGCCUUUUCUCUCUAGCAGUCCAAAAUGCUUAUACCUCAUGUGUUUCUUGCCUCUGUCCUUGGAACAUGCUGGUUCUUUUGUACUUAAAUGCCCUUUCCUGACUCUCACAAAGAUAAAUAUACCUCCUUUGACCAUCCUUCUAUUGCAUUUAUUAUAUGGUGCUUGAUUUAAAAAAAAAAUACUUACAUGAAUGUCCCAUAUUACACUGUGAGCUUCUUAAAGGGAGAGGAUUGUGUCUUAUUUAGGGCACAGCUCCUGUCACACAGUCAGGGACAGAUGGAGAUGGAAGUAAGGCACAGGAAGUGUUCAAAGUAGAAGGAACUGUAUGUAUCAACACUCUGAAGCAUGAAGGAACUUGCUUCAUCUUUAGGAAAGAGAGGAGGCGAGUGUGACUAGAGACCAGUGAAUGAGGGGCAGAAUAACAGGAGAGCAAACUAGAAAGACUGUGGGAAUUAGAUCAUUGCAAGGCCUUAUUAGCCAUGCUAAGGAUCUUGAACAUUAUCCCAAGAGAAAUGGGAAGCCUUUGAAAGGUUUUAAGUAGAAUGGCAAAAUAAGAUUUGCAUUAAAAAGUCAUGAUGGCUGCUCUGUAAAGAAUGGAUUGCAAGGAUACAAGAAUGAAUUCAGAGACUAGAGAGACAUUGUUGCAGUAGUCCAGGCAAAAGGUGAUGGCGAGUUGAACUAGAGGUAGCAGUGGGGAUGCUGAGAAGUAAAUAGAUUCAAAAUAUAUCUUGGAGGUAGACUGAGUAGGGCUUAAUAACAAAGUGAGGGGUGAAGGAGAUAGAUUUGCACAACUGAAAGGCUGGUGGAAUCCUUUACUGAAAUGCAGAUAUGUCAGAGUAAGGGUCAAAAGAGCAACAGUUAAGUUUUGAGAGGUUAAGUUUGCAAUGUCUGAGUGUGAGACAUGUAGAGGAAUAACACAGUUGAGUAUACGAGUGUAGAUUUCAGAAGAGAGGUCUGGACUGGAAAAAUAAUUGGGAGCCAUGAGCAUACAGGUUUAAUGUAAAGCCUUAAGAGUCAAUGCCAGAACCUAGAGAGAGACUGUAGCAUGAAAAGAAAAGAGGGCAUGGCUUAUGUGGAACUGAAUAUAAAUUCACUGGAUUAGAGGUAAUGAGAACAUGAAACUGAGAGGCCACAGGGACCUUGAAGUUGCCAAGGAAAAUGGUAGAAGUUGAGGGUGAGUAAGGCUGUGAGCAAGGUACUUGCAGGUCUUCAGAAAAUGAGGGAAAAUGACCAACAGUUUGGAAGAUAAUUGCAUUGGGAGGGGAGAAAAGAUGAAUAGAUAGAUGACACGAACCUCAAAAAAAAAAAAAAAAAAGAAAGAUUUUCCAAGAGGUAGAAGGAGCAAUGGGGAAAGACAACCUAAAUUUCCCCCUUAAAUAUAUUUUCUGUUUCAGAUAACAAGUAUCUUCAAGAGUAUCUUUGGAUGUUGCAGGUUAAAUAGAUUGAAAUAAAUUUUAUCUCUGCUGUUCCAGACCAAGCCAGUCCCUGGGUCUUAAUCAAGGCAGGAAAUCUGGUAGAGUGAUGCCAAAACAGCAGGAACCUGGCUCAGAAAAGAGUGAGAAAUAACAAGCUAUACCGAGUUCAAGUGAGAGGUAGUGAGGGAUUGAACCAAUGCAGGAGCAGAGGAGAUAAACAGGGAGAUCUUGAGGAAAUACCUCUGACAUAUCUGGAGAUUGAGUUCAAUUACAUGGCUGCUGAUUCAAUCGUUCAUUCCUACAUAAGGAAAUCCCUGUAAAAACUCUGAACACCAAAGCUGAAAGGAGCUUCCUGGUUGGUGAACACAUCAGGGUCUUGGGAGAGUGAUGCAUCCUGUCACCAUGGGGAGAGGGGGAAGGACCAUCUGAACUCAGGAACUUCCCAGAUUUUGCUUUAUGUGUCUCUUCAUUUGACUGGCUCUCUUUUGUAUACUUCAUAAUAAAACUAUAAUCACAACUAUA